rnacentral:rRNA from 1 species
CAGCGCCACGGUAAUACGAAGGGUGCAAGCGUUACUCGGAAUUACUGGGCGUAAAGCGUGCGUAGGCGGCUUCUUAAGUCGGAUGUGAAAUCCCUGAGCUUAACUUAGGAAUUGCAUUCGAUACUGGGAAGCUAGAGUAUGGGAGAGGAUGGUAGAAUUCCAGGUGUAGCGGUGAAAUGCGUAGAGAUCUGGAGGAAUACCGAUGGCGAAGGCAGCCAUCUGGCCUAAUACUGACGCUGAGGUACGAAAGCAUGGGGAGCAAACAGGAUUAGAUACCCCAGUAGUCCCUGUCUCUUAUACA